CUGAUAGCUUGCAUUUGUUACAAGAAAGGAGGAAAUCAUAAACUACACAAAGAAAGAAGCUCCUGAAAAAGGACAGAAGAUAACUCCCUGUUCUCAGCUUCUCAAGUGGUUCAGAGACACCUACCAAAAACUGUGGUCUUCUCCCACAGAGCUGCAAGUAAGGGACUGAUCUGAAAUUAAAGGGAAGAUUCAGAUGGAGAAAGGAAAGGGACAUUUGCUUUACACAAACCACUCUUCAUUUGCCAGACAUUGGAUAUGGUCCAUAAAANAAAAGAGUCAAGGCCGGUUCGUGCCAUUGAUUCCUCCAGCACUAGAACAGCUGCAGUCUAUCUUGGGAAAUGCAAAUUCAGCAAGGAAACCUAAGCAUGAAAGCGGCCUAUGGACGACCAUANCCACGGCAGUUUCCAUGACUCGAUGCUAGAUGAAGUGUCACAGACCAAAGGCAGAUACGGCUGUCUCUGAAUACGACAGAAGGACACAGCUAUUUCUGAAUAAGAGAAAAUCAUAUGAAUGUGUUAUUUAAAUAUUUAUCUGUUUAUUUAAACAACCGUGUACCAUUGCUGACCAUAAAUUUCAGGGUGGUUUAUAACAACAAAACAGNAUAAGAUCAAUACAUUUGAACAGUAGGAAACAACAGAAAGAGCUAUGAA
rnacentral:lncRNA from 1 species